GCCUGGGUGGCUCAGUCGGUUGAGUGUCUGACUUCAGCUCAGGUCACAGCUCUGUGAGUUCGAGCCCCACAUUGGGCU
rnacentral:tRNA from 1 species